GAUGAAGAACGCAGCGAAAUGCGAUAAGUAAUGUGAAUUGCAGAAUUCCGUGAAUCAUCGAAUCUUUGAACGCACAUUGCGCCCCCUGGUAUUCCGGGGGGCAUGCCUGUCCGAGCGUCAUUACAACCCUCAAGCUCAGCUUGGUAUUGGGCCCCGCCGACCCGGCGGGCCCUAAAGUCAGUGGCGGUGCCGUCCGGCUCCGAGCGUAGUAAUUCUUCUCGCUCUGGAGGUCCGGUCGUGUGCUCGCCAGCAACCCCCAAUUUUUUUCAGGUUGACCUCGGAUCAGGUAGGGAUACCCGCUGAACUUAAGCAUAUCAAUAAGCGGAGG
rnacentral:misc_RNA from 1 species